UUAAGAUUUGGCUUGUGACAUUCAAAAACGGGGUUCUGCAGAAAGACAGUAGGCUUAAAAACUAGUCCGUGUAGGGAGAGAAAAGAUUUUUAAAUGUUUUUAUUUUUUAUUUUCGUAGCAAGGAGUAGGCCUGGAAAAUUAGACUGUAAAUUUCUAUGAUAACAUAUAUUAAUAGAAUGUUUAUUCUAUUCACCAUUAAUGCUCUGCACUCAUUGAGGCUGCAGUUCAGAAGAUGAUGACUAUGAUAAUGAAGGCUGCACUCCAGCCUGAAUAGAUUUUUGGAGGAGGAAGACAGAAGGGGGUCAGAAGAGGUAGAUGUGCAUAGGAGCUAGCAAGCAAGAAUAGAUCAGAUCUAGGCGAAGCAGAAGUGUAAUUUCUCUGCACAUGUGAGUUCUGGGGUGUGUCCAGUCUCAGCUGGGAAUGGAAGAUGCUUUGCAUAUCUUUAAAAUCUUCGGGCCAUAGAGUUGGGGAGAGUACAGAAAGAAUACCACAGAACUUUUAUGCCAGAAAAUGGCAGGUGCUCCAAGGGCUAUGUUGGAAUGCUUGGAGUGCAUAAAAAUACCAAGGGCCUUGAAACACUGACAUCCAGAGAAGAAGAAUAAUAAACAAGAAAGUGGCUGCAAUGCCAGAGUUUCAACAGAUCCUUUGUGGCUCUAGAACUGGAACUCUGUCUCCUUUUCUAAGACAGGAUGUGGGGAAUCUUAUAAAAAGCUUCAUAUUUGUAUUCACAAGUUAAUGUGGGAAAGAAACCAGGAUUUCUGUGUCCUUAAGUGAUACGGAGACUCUGGCUCCAGCAAGACAAGGCUCCGAUCCCAGAUGUCAGUCCCCAGCGAUUCAGGGACACUUCAACAUCCUGACUUCAAAUGAAAAAUCAGGUUGCUUUUCGAGAGUUGUAAAAGACUGGAAACUCCCUGACCACUCGCCAACUCACAGAUGCCAGAAACUCUGCAGCCAUAGCCCUGGCCAGAGAUUUUUCUGGCAGAGUGGGGUCCCCUGACCUCUUUAAGAGGAGCACUGCUUUCUGAGGGCUCAGAAGGCAAUCUGAGGCUCCAGCAUCUUGGCCAGGGGCUGUGAAGAGACAAGUGGAGCACAGGGUGGGGUAUGCAGGGAGCAGGAGGUAUCAUGGGCGGGCCCCUCAGGGAGGGCCGUGGAUUAUUCAAAAGUGCCCUGGCCUGCUGUGCAUUCUGGAGGAUAUUCACCAUCAACCCUGCCAGGAAAGAAGGCCUCACAAAACACCAGGUCUGAAGGAAGGAUCAAGGAAUUUCUUUGACAGAUGUUAAUCAAGAAAACCUGAACACCAAGGGAGGCUAUUGCUUCCUCCUGAAACUAUUUGACUGGCUUGGUCUCUUUGUACUUGGGUGGGACUAACCAUGAGAAAAAGCUCAUCUGUGUGAGUUUCGUGGCUCAAUGUUAUGGGGUACAGACGUGAGCUACUCCUCUAAUGUCCAGGAGCUGUAUCAAUCCCAAGAAAUGACUUGCAAUAUCCUGCAUGUGUGUGUGUGUUUUCAGGGAGGGAUCUGGAACAAUUUUCUGGGGCCUGUAAAUGUAAGCUGAUUCACAAGAUGAAGUGCCCCCUCCCUGCCUCUUCCCCCAUCCCGGAAUUGAGAACGGCUCUAGAUUAUGAGGCAGAGGAGGCUGGAGCAAUGACUUUCCUCCCGGAAUACCCGACAGUACCCUGCCUGGCAAGCCUUGUGUACUGUCUUUAUAGGAGUACUUACUAAACUGAACAUAUAGAAGCAGCCUUCAACUUUUAGGAAUCCACAUACAUUCCUCCCAUCCAGAAGGUUAGCUUGUGAUGAGAGAUUCUUUUGGGGAUCUCAUUAACAGUUUCUUCUGUUUGUGGGAUGGCUCUUCCCAAAGGGGUCUUAAAAUCAGAGAACAGGCCUGGCGCAGUGGCUCAUGCCUAUUAUCCCAGCACUUUGGGAGGCCAAGGUGGGCGGAUCACGAGGUCAGGAGAUUGACCAUCCUGGCUAAUGCAGUGAAACCCCGUCUCUACUAAAAAUACAAAAAGAUUAGCCAGGCGUGGUGGCGGGUGCCUGUAGUCCCAUCUACUCCAGAGGCUGAGGCAGGAGAAUGCCAUGAACCCGGG
rnacentral:lncRNA from 1 species